CUGACCAGGAAACUGGCCUCUUUGCAGGACAGCAGCUGAAACUCCGCCUCCUGGCGAGUCACACAGCCGUGGUACCAGCUGAGACAGAGGGGUGGGUUACAGGGGGAUUACAUUUCAUCUGCCAUCCAUCAACUAAUGUGUAGAAUUUUGAUGCAACCCUCUUGGAAAUGAGCGUUACCCUUAUGUAACAGUGAAAUUUAAUUAAAAAAAAAAAAAUCCUUUCCACAAUAAAAAACAGAUGCACCCACAUUUUCACAUUUGAAUUCCUUUUAAAAUGCUUCGAGUAUUACGACAUUAAAUACCUAGGUUUUAAGUGUCUGAAGGAAAUUCCCCACACUGGUGAUUUUGCACCAUUCAUCUGUUGUUUUCUUCAACUAGUCUUGUCAGAGAUUUAGCUCAGGAUUUGGAUUAACUAAUCUACUAUUCUGGUCCACCAAGGACAGCAGAAGGUUCCUCACCUUUGUUUUUCCAGCGGCAGGGAGGGGUCAACACAGCAGGCCUCGCUCUCAGGACCAGGAGUGGAGGACGGCAGCAUGGUCGGAGGAGAGGAUCUCAGGAUCUUCUGGGUCCAGCUUUUCUGCCUCAGAUGCUGAUUCUGCUGCUGCUGCUGGGCUGCUGGAUGCUGAGGCUGUCUGGGCAGCUCGUACUCAGUGGAGGGUCGAGGGUCCAGCUCAGGCCUGGUGAUUACCGUCCUGUCGGUGUCACCGCUGCCCUCGUAUGGGAUGUCAUAAAUCUGUAAAGGAACAGGCUGACCGUCCUCCACCGAUCCCUCGCUGCCCUCCAUCAGCACACACACCUUCAGCAGGUCCUUAGAUCCCCGACGUCUGAUCUCUGUCAGCACAAAACAAAGGAUUAAAGAACCUCCGCUCCAUCAAGGAGUCCUGUGCAAGAACAAACAAUGGAGGAUCUUAACCCUCCUGUUGUCCUCAUUUACGGGCACCAAAAAAUAUUGUUUCCUUGUCUGAAGAAAAUUCAAAAAUUCAGCAAAAAAAUUCCCCAAAUUUCUGAAAAUUUGCAAAACCUUCAGGAAGAAAAUUCCAAUAAUUCCUUAAAAGUUUCUCUCAAAAGUUUUAUUAAAAAAAAAAAUUUCCCCAAAAUUUGGCAAGAAAAUUCUUGUAAAUAUUUUCAAAAAAUGAGUAAAAAUCUUCCAAAAAAAUUCUAAAAAAAUCUAAAGUGUUUACAUAUAUAUCAGUAAAACUUCUAAUAUUUUCUUUAAGAACAUUCACAUAAAAAUCAACCAAAAGCCAGCAAAAUUCACUGGAAGCAAAAUUUUUUUAACAUUUCUUUUUUCCCACCAAAAAAUGUUCAAAAAUGUCCUGAAAAUGUUGAAAAUGUGGACAUCAGAAGUUUCACUGUGAAAAUAUAUUUUUUUCUCCACACUUUCAAACUUUAAACCGUAUCAAUUUUGACCCGCAGGACAACAUGAGGGUUAAUAUUUGUCCUUUCUAUUUAGCAUUAAUACUAGAAAUGUCGGCUAUCCAUCAAUAAAUGCUAAAUAAGUGUG